rnacentral:tRNA from 1 species
AGGAGUGUGGCUCAGUGGUUGAGCACUUGCCUAGCAUGCAUGAGAUCUUGGGUUCAAUUCCCAGCACUGUAA